CGCUACCCUUUGGGUGCGCACAGGGUAGAACCCCCGCUCCUAUGCAAUAGCUCGCAAACCACAUAAGAGAGGUGAUCUGCACUAGGCAAGCGUAGUGCGACGAGCUCGUCCCAGUAGGCAAACUCUUGCUUUCGCUGGCAAGGGAUUUCGAGCUUGAGAGCUCCAACAUGAAAGUCCCAAGCUCAAACCACUGGACCAUCCCGAAGGGUGACUUCCUUUUAUACUUUACUAGUUAUUGAGCUUCACUCGUCCUUUGUUAAUUUCUUAAUGUCCGUGUAUCCAAUGACUUCUUAUAAAAUAUCUGCUCCCUAUUUAAGAAUUUUCUUGCCACCUUUUUCUUUUUGCCUGAUUGAAAGCUUGAAUUCGGAGUUCUUGUUUCCCCACAGUUAUACUUUUUACUGGUGAGUGCUUGCCUGACAUCAUAAUAUUCAGAAAGAAUUCUGUCAAAGUUGUAUAAUAUAUGGACAUUGUGUUUCCACAAGAUGGCAGGAAAAUGCACAAAAAAAGUGCUCCUCGAGAGAAGAUGGUUAACUGUGCUGGUUUUCCAGGCCAUCCUGACAGAUAUUUUCACUAAUCGAAGGAUCAGAAUUGAGUUCUCUGACCGGGUCAUGUCACCAAAUACUUCAACAUUUCAGUCAGUCUCGGUGAGUAUACUCUAAUCCUCUUCAUCCAAUAUUAAAGAUCAAAUAUCAUCAAUCUCAUUUCUGGUCCUGAAUUUUGCAUGAAGUGUUAAGUCACUCAUAAGUCUGCUAUGCUUCAUGUCCCAUGCGGGCUAUACCUGUUGCAGUAUGUGAGGCUAGAGAUCUUACUGAGGAUGUAGUUCAAAUAUCUUAAAUGAUUUAUAAAUGACCUAAACACUGCGCUUAGAACUAAGCUAGCACAGAAUAUAGAUCGUCACCUGCCACACGUCUAAACAAGGAUAAUUGGCUCAAGGUCAUGCAAUGAUAGUUGCCAAGAAUAUAAAAACCAUCACAUUGUUAAAGAGGAACUUUGGGCUACAACAUGAUGUUUAUAAAUUAGUAGUUGUCUUCAAUUUCACAAUUUGAUAGUUCUAGUAUUAAGUGAGUGAUGUUUUGAGUUUGAUGAUUCUAGUAAGAAUCUUCCAACUGUACGUUCAAACACGUUACGCAUUCAUUAGUUAGAUGUAAACAUUCGAUACAUAUA